GGUUUCGUGGUCAAGUGGUAAGGACACUUGCCUCUCACCCUAGGGUUCCGGGUUCGAUCCCCGGUCGAAGGGCUA
rnacentral:tRNA from 1 species